ACAUCCAGCGAACUUGGCAGAGAUGCCUUGGUGCCUUCGGGAACGCUGAGACAGGUGCUGCAUGGCUGUCGUCAGCUCGUGUUGUGAAAUGUUGGGUUAAGUCCCANAACGAGCGCAACCCUUUAUCCUUUGUUGCCAGCGAUUCGGUCGGGAACUCAAAGGAGACUGCCGGUGAUAAACCGGAGGAAGGUGGGGAUGACGUCAAGUCAUCAUGGCCCUUACGAGUAGGGCUACACACGUGCUACAAUGGCGCAUACAAAGAGAAGCGACCUCGCGAGAGCAAGCGGACCUCAUAAAGUGCGUCGUAGUCCGGAUCGGAGUCUGCAACUCGACUCCGUGAAGUCGGAAUCGCUAGUAAUCGUGGAUCAGAAUGCCACGGUGAAUACGUUCCCGGGCCUUGUACACACCGCCCGUCACACCAUGGGAGUGGGUUGCAAAAGAAGUAGGUAGCUUAACCUUCGGGAGGGCGCUUACCACUUUGUGAUUCAUGACUGGGGUGAAGUCGUAACAAGGUAAGCGUAGCGAG
rnacentral:rRNA from 1 species